rnacentral:misc_RNA from 1 species
ACUUUGACGGCGAUCCGGAACGGAGACAUUUCGACUGCUGAGUCCUACGUCGCGCGCAGCCGGGCGCUGCUCAACGAAUCCCGCAAAUGGCCGGCAUUCGCUAUCUAUGGCACAAGCUAUCAGGCCUUUGCGGAAGACGGCGCGGCCCGCGUGGAGGAAGCGCGGGGGCGGCUGAAAGAGGCGGAGGAUGCCUAUCACAAGGCAUCGGCGUUCUAUGCCGCGACGCUCAAGUAUUUUCCGAAAUGGGAAAGC